CUUCUCAUCAUCCUAAAUGUACAUAUAUGUCUGCAUUUCCUUAUGAUGACCUUUCAGAUGCCUCUUACAGUUAGGUUGCAAUUCAGAUAAUUAAGGAGUGUUUUAAAGAUGCAAUCUGCCAGUCAGUUUUCCACUAUUUGUGGAUGGUAAACUGAAGGAGCGCAUGAGAUUUCUUCCAUGGGAAAGAUUUGGAUGAGUUAUGCUUCCCGGAAAUUACAUACUGACAUUAUCGGAUAUAGAUGGAAAAGAUCGCGAUGGAGAAUUACGCUGAUCAAAACCGCAAGCGCGUUCCUUGUGAUGACGUAUUGUACCGUGUGGACAGCGGCUAUAAAUGCCCGCAAGAUGAGUAUUCAAGGUGCAUAUACAGUACGAGAUAAGUACUAACGUCAUAGACCUACGGUCACCAAUACUACAAAGGCGCCCCUGGAAAAUGUACGGUACGGUACACAAGAAAUUCAUUAAUCAACGGCGCAGCCCGCUGCACGAUCCAUCUAUCCGUUUGGAACGAUCGCACGCUGGAUCCCCGUAUCGCACGAUCCCCGUUUGGAACGAUCGUAUUUAAGCGCUGACCACAUGCAAGUCUUCUCAUUGUCAAUUCUGACUUAAUCGCUCCGAUCUGUUUGAUUGCUUAUGGUUAGGUAGUCGGGAGAAGUACUAAUUUUUCUUCCAGAAUCUGCAGUACUUGCUUAGAACUUGAUUAUCUCGGACCUAUCGUCGAUCAAAACCAGCCAUGCAUCUCGGACUGUUUUCUCUCCUGUUUGGUGUUGCCAUUAUCGUUGUUAUCCUUGUUCGAAGACUAACCCAUGUCCGGAAGGGAGCAGAUGCGUCACCUCUUCGGCAUUAAAAGCACGGGAUACUGCUAUGAAGAACCGAAGAACAAGAAGAACGGCGCAUCGUUUGUUGUUGUUCAUAGCAGCCCGGCCGGCCGACGGCAUUCUUGGACACUUUGCGUACGAAAUCCGACAAUUCAAAAACUGUAUUUAUUGUUAAUUUUACUUUUUAAUGCUAUUCUGAUGCAGCUGUGUUCUGCUUGCGACUCUUGUCGUAAUGAAUGAGA